GUGGCGGCCCCGCGGGCGGGAGCGCGGAGCGGCGGCCGCAGGUGGGGCCGGGGCCGGGCGGGGACAGCCCGGGAGUCCCUCGGAGCCCCCGGGCCGCCUCCCUCCCUCCCUGCGGCUCCGGAGAGGAGCAGGAACCCGCCGGGAGCCCCGCCGGGGGCGGCCGGGACGAGGAGCGGGAGGCGCCGGCAGCCGCGGGGUCUCAGUGCGCAGGAUGGGGCUGUGCCCGCACGGCCCCGGACAGAGAUGAAGCACUGUGCCCUGUGACAUUUACUUCU
rnacentral:lncRNA from 1 species